AGAUGCUUGCAGCCUGAAGUGUCAUGAUGUUACUCUGAAUGGGUGGAUGCCUGAAGCCUUCUGAUGAGGUCCAUCUGAGAUCCGAAGUUGUUCCUGAAUUAGGAAAUUUUGGAGAGGUAAUGUACAUAUGUGUCAGGAUGAGAGGCCCCCAGAAGCAGCUCCUGAAAUGCCAUUGCAGAAGGCAGUUCUGGCUGUUGUGAAACACUACUGUGAGGAGACUGUAAGCAAAUACGUGCCCUCCCAGCCACUCUUUGCUAGCCUGUCUUGUUCCCUCAUAGUCUUGUGUGCUUCAUUUCUGGCCCUCACAGGGGCAUGGGCUGGAGCACGGGUAGAAGCUGAAAUUUCUGGGAGAAAGAGAAUAUCUGUCUGUUGCUCUCAGUCCCUUCUUUUGUGAACACCCGGUGACAUGAAGGUGUAGUCUGGGUGAGAGACAACUUAGCUCCCUACAGGCUUUGUGCAUCAUCAGGACCAGCAAUGAGGGAUUGUGCUCUGAGGCCACUGGAGGAGCACAGCUCAGGUUCUGGAUUCAACCUGUUAAUUGAGAGACAAUUUUGCACAUAGAGAAAAGUGAUUUUAAGGCUCUGUUUGAAGGUUGCCUUAGGCUGAUGUGGUGCAAGUGUUAGUGCGCACAUUGGCUUCCUAUAAGACCAACAUUUGUUCUAACUUGAUUUGCUUUUAGGAAGCCCACACAAGAUUUAAUCAACUUGCUUAUCUUGCCAGCAAGUAAAGACCAAUGGAAGCAGAUAUGCAAUAAGCAGGAGGAAAAAUAAUGAGCAGCUCCUCCUUUACCCAAGAGUCAUCUGUAAAUUCCACUCUGGGCACAGGUUUCCAUGUUUUCUGAGCCUGGCUGUUAGAGUAGACUGUCAAUAGGGUAGCCUAAAAGAUGAUUUGUUAGCAAUGAAUUCUCUUCCCUCCUUUUCAGUACUUGCUUUGCCUUCUGCCUUUUUUUGGAUUUAAAUGUUUGUGAUUUUCACCUCUUUAUCCAUCAUAGCACACCAUUGACUGAAUAAUACACUUUUAUUAAGCUGCCCUCUUUCUGUGAAAUAAAUGCCAGCAAUAAUCAGUCAAUCAUUCAAUUCAUAUGAAUGUGGAAUUUAGAUGUGGCUGUUUGAAUUGGGUUUAUAAUAUACCAUUUCUUGGUACAGCAUGUUCUUUGAUAGUAUUCUUUUAAAUGACUGUUUCCAACUGCACUGGAAAGCACCUAUGAAAGAAAUUGUUUGUGAUGCUAUACUUAGUUUAAACGUCCUUUUUUCUUCAGCAUUUCUGUCUGUAUUUCAUUUCUAUGCAAAUUAUAUCUCUGUGAGUUAGUAAAAUUUUACAAACCAGUUGAAAUGCAGCUAUGGAAUGAAUUAUCAGAGAAAAUUUGGAAAAUACGCCCAUGAAAGGAAAAUUGAGGAAAACAUUUAAAUCUAAUUGUGUAUUAUUCAAAGAGAAUUCCAGAGCAACUCUUGGGCGAAUAUUACAUAAAUGUAUACCUACAUUAAAUGAUUAAUUUACCACAGGUAAUAUACUUCAAGGUUCAGGGACUAUUUUCCUGUUAGCCUAUGCACGUAGCCCUGCUCAGCUGAAAUACAGCCUAGGUACACAAAUGCACUUCACUUGCUCAUGGGGAAUUGCAGAGAAGGAACUGUGAGUGUAAUGCUGUCAGCAGCUACAGAGCAGUGGCACUGCUCCCCACAAUCCCAAAGCUCGGUCUCCAUUAUAGCAACAGUGACUGAGUGUAACCUUGAAGGAAGUCAACCCUUAUGACCAAGAAUCAUUUCAUCUCCUCCCAAAUAUCAAGUAUUCAGCCCCUCUAAAUUCAUUAGCAGCUGGCAGAUCAACUGUGAAUACUCUGAAUAACUACCAGAGUGAGCAAUUGAUCUCCAAAAUGGGAGACUUGAUAGCUCUGUAUUUGUCAGCCAAGAAUAGUUUCCAUGAUUUGUGCCUCCAUGAGAUAUAUGCUUCCCCUCAUGAGGCAGACUGGCUUUGUGAGUGGUUUCACUCCUCACUUUACCAUUUGCCUAGGAAGACUCUGGGCUGAUGUGCAGAGGCAAAGGCACUAAAGAACCUUCAGUGUUUUCAGAGCUACCAGGGAAGAAAGCAACUGGAGUCCAAUCCAAAGGCUGUGUUGGUGUCUCCAGAAUCCAGGAGAAACUGUAGCAAAGCUCAAUGUGAACUUUUUUAAACAUGUAUUUUAAAAAUAGCUGAUUUCUACUCAUGCCUCUGUAUUCACAAGUCCUGAGCUGCAUCUCCAGAGGGCCUGGCUAUAGCAGGAGGAUAAUGGGUGCCAGUUAUCUUCCACUCCCUGGAUCUCCUGGGCUUUUCAGCAUGUGAUUGACAAUCUGAGGUCACCAAGAUGCACCUUUAAGGAACUGACCGCAACUGUGGUCCUUUCAGACAUCCUGACCCCUUUGUGUAACUCCUUAAUGCUUGUUCCCUUUUAGAUUAUGUUUGUCUUAAUAUUCCAGCCCUGCCCAUCACCUUUCUGUCAUCUCCUCAUAAGGCACACUGUCUUCUAUUUAAAUCUAGGUGCCUUCUCUGCCUGGGUGCUCUGUGGAGAGUUCUGGGUGCUGGGAAUUUGCUUAUCUAGGCACUAAUGACACCUGCCACUGAAACAGCUCUGCUUCUGGUUUUCCUUUCUUUUCCCUCCUUUCCUUCCACUCUGAUAUGCCCAUUCACUCUUGAUUCCUACCAAUCUUAAUACUUUUAUUACAACUCUC